rnacentral:lncRNA from 1 species
CGGGGAGACCCUCACUUGCCUCCUGUUCUCUUCUCCACUGUCACAGGUCAGAGAAGAAUGGCUUUUCCCAGGAGUUGAUGCCUUACAACCUGUGGCCGACCCAUCGGCCCAUCCCCAGCCAUAGCUUCCGGCAGAGCUAUGAGGCCAAGAGUGCACGUGCACACCAGGCCUUCUUCCAGGAAUUUGAGGUAAGUCCUGUGUCAUCCUGUGUCCCGAAGAGGGAGGACCGGGACAUCUGGGCUGGGCUGGACCUGCCUUGCAGCCUAACUUCCUCCACUCAUCCUACCUGCUGUGGGGUGAGAUGGGUUUGUCUCUGCAAUGGGGCCUUGACUUCAUAGGAGCUGAAGGAGGUGGGCAAGGACCAGCCCAGACUAGAGGCUGAGCAUCCUGCCAACAUCACCAAGAACCGGUACCCACACGUGCUACCUUGUGAGCAAAUGCUGGGAGCAGGAGGGAGGUGUGGGUAAAGGGUUGGAGCUUGGCCUUAAGGAGGGGCUGGCUACAUGUGCUGCUUCCAAAUCUAUAUCAUGUACCUCUCUGCAGAUGACCACUCCAGGGUCAGGCUGACCCAGCUAUCAGGAGAGCCUCAUUCUGACUACAUCAAUGCCAACUUCAUCCCACAUAUUGGAAACUGAGUCAAGAGAAUUGGGAG